rnacentral:circRNA from 1 species
AGGGUGUUAAUGCAGAUAGCAUCAAACAAGCCUCAGAACAACUGAACAGCCGGUGGAUCGAAUUCUGCCAGUUGCUAAGUGAGAGACUUAACUGGCUGGAGUAUCAGAACAACAUCAUCGCUUUCUAUAAUCAGCUACAACAAUUGGAGCAGAUGACAACUACUGCUGAAAACUGGUUGAAAAUCCAACCCACCACCCCAUCAGAGCCAACAGCAAUUAAAAGUCAGUUAAAAAUUUGUAAGGAUGAAGUCAACCGGCUAUCAGAUCUUCAACCUCAAAUUGAACGAUUAAAAAUUCAAAGCAUAGCCCUGAAAGAGAAAGGACAAGGACCCAUGUUCCUGGAUGCAGACUUUGUGGCCUUUACAAAUCAUUUUAAGCAAGUCUUUUCUGAUGUGCAGGCCAGAGAGAAAGAGCUACAGACAAUUUUUGACACUUUGCCACCAAUGCGCUAUCAGGAGACCAUGAGUGCCAUCAGGACAUGGGUCCAGCAGUCAGAAACCAAACUCUCCAUACCUCAACUUAGUGUCACCGACUAUGAAAUCAUGGAGCAGAGACUCGGGGAAUUGCAGGCUUUACAAAGUUCUCUGCAAGAGCAACAAAGUGGCCUAUACUAUCUCAGCACCACUGUGAAAGAGAUGUCGAAGAAAGCGCCCUCUGAAAUUAGCCGGAAAUAUCAAUCAGAAUUUGAAGAAAUUGAGGGACGCUGGAAGAAGCUCUCCUCCCAGCUGGUUGAGCAUUGUCAAAAGCUAGAGGAGCAAAUGAAUAAACUCCGAAAAAUUCAGAAUCACAUACAAACCCUGAAGAAAUGGAUGGCUGAAGUUGAUGUUUUUCUGAAGGAGGAAUGGCCUGCCCUUGGGGAUUCAGAAAUUCUAAAAAAGCAGCUGAAACAGUGCAGACUUUUAGUCAGUGAUAUUCAGACAAUUCAGCCCAGUCUAAACAGUGUCAAUGAAGGUGGGCAGAAGAUAAAGAAUGAAGCAGAGCCAGAGUUUGCUUCGAGACUUGAGACAGAACUCAAAGAACUUAACACUCAGUGGGAUCACAUGUGCCAACAGGUCUAUGCCAGAAAGGAGGCCUUGAAGGGAGGUUUGGAGAAAACUGUAAGCCUCCAGAAAGAUCUAUCAGAGAUGCACGAAUGGAUGACACAAGCUGAAGAAGAGUAUCUUGAGAGAGAUUUUGAAUAUAAAACUCCAGAUGAAUUACAGAAAGCAGUUGAAGAGAUGAAGAGAGCUAAAGAAGAGGCCCAACAAAAAGAAGCGAAAGUGAAACUCCUUACUGAGUCUGUAAAUAGUGUCAUAGCUCAAGCUCCACCUGUAGCACAAGAGGCCUUAAAAAAGGAACUUGAAACUCUAACCACCAACUACCAGUGGCUCUGCACUAGGCUGAAUGGGAAAUGCAAGACUUUGGAAGAAGUUUGGGCAUGUUGGCAUGAGUUAUUGUCAUACUUGGAGAAAGCAAACAAGUGGCUAAAUGAAGUAGAAUUUAAACUUAAAACCACUGAAAACAUUCCUGGCGGAGCUGAGGAAAUCUCUGAGGUGCUAGAUUCACUUGAAAAUUUGAUGCGACAUUCAGAGGAUAACCCAAAUCAGAUUCGCAUAUUGGCACAGACCCUAACAGAUGGCGGAGUCAUGGAUGAGCUAAUCAAUGAGGAACUUGAGACAUUUAAUUCUCGUUGGAGGGAACUACAUGAAGAGGCUGUAAGGAGGCAAAAGUUGCUUGAACAGAGCAUCCAGUCUGCCCAGGAGACUGAAAAAUCCUUACACUUAAUCCAGGAGUCCCUCACAUUCAUUGACAAGCAGUUGGCAGCUUAUAUUGCAGACAAGGUGGACGCAGCUCAAAUGCCUCAGGAAGCCCAG